rnacentral:rRNA from 1 species
GACGAACGCUGGCGGCGUGCUUAACACAUGCAAGUCGAACGCUGAAGCUCAGCUUGCUGGGUGGAUGAGUGGCGAACGGGUGAGUAACACGGGAGUAACCUGCCCUCUUCUUUGGGAUAACGCCCGGAAACGGGUGCUAAUACUGGAUAUUCACUGAUUCUCGCAUGGGGGUUGGUGGAAAGGUUUUUUCUGGUGGGGGAUGGGCUCGCGGCCUAUCAGCUUGUUGGUGGGGUGAUGGCCUACCAAGGCUUUGACGGGUAGCCGGCCUGAGAGGGUGACCGGGCACAUUGGGACUGAGAUACGGCCCAGACUCCUACGGGAGGCAGCAGUGGGGAAUAUUGCACAAUGGGCGAAAGCCUGAUGCAGCGACGCCGCGUGAGGGAUGGAGGCCUUCGGGUUGUAAACCUCUUUCGCUCAUGGUCAAGCCGCAGCUUUGGGUUGUGGUGAGGGUAGUGGGUAAAGAAGCGCCGGCUAACUACGUG